GGCCGAGCCACGCCGUGCCCGCGGCCCGCGGCCGCCAUGCAGUUUAUGUUGCUUUUUAGUCGUCAGGGAAAGCUUCGACUGCAGAAAUGGUAUGUCCCACUGUCAGACAAAGAAAAGAAAAAGAUCACAAGAGAACUUGUUCAAACCGUUUUAGCACGGAAACCGAAAAUGUGCAGCUUUCUUGAGUGGCGAGAUCUGAAGAUUGUUUACAAAAGAUAUGCUAGUCUGUAUUUUUGCUGUGCUAUCGAGGAUCAGGACAAUGAGCUAAUUACCCUGGAAAUAAUUCAUCGUUAUGUGGAAUUACUUGACAAGUAUUUUGGCAGUGUGUGUGAACUUGAUAUCAUCUUUAAUUUUGAGAAGGCUUAUUUUAUUUUGGAUGAGUUUCUUUUGGGAGGGGAAGUUCAGGAAACAUCCAAGAAAAAUGUCCUUAAAGCAAUUGAGCAGGCUGAUCUACUGCAGGAGAGCCAGAAUGAAGAAUGGGGAGGUUUGUCUGAGGAUAUCUUAUGAUAAAGAGCAGUCUAAGGCUUUAGUCCCUUUGACCCCCAACUUAUUUCUUGGAUGCAAAAGAAGCUGAAACCCCACGUAGUGUUCUUGAAGAAAUUGGACUGACAUAACUCACCUCCCUUGUUGAUGACUUCUUGUGACAUUUCACACACUGUAGAUGGUCACUGCCUUCAUGUCCAUGUUAGCUAAUGGUAUAAGAUGACGUCUUGUCAGUAUUACUGUUUUGCUAAGCUGCUUCAUUCAGGCCUACACACAAAAAAAAUUUUUUUAAAGGGAACUUUGGUUAAUCAAGUGAUAAGGGACUUAAACAUGAGUUAGAAUGAUGCAGAAAAAGAAAGGUACCUUUUCUGGAUAUUUUAGUUUUUAAAUCUGUUUCUCUCAAUCUGAUUAUGUAUCUAUGAAAAUGACACAAUUAGGCAAGCUACAUUCAUUAAUUACGGUCUUUGGCAAAGGAAACUGUUAAAAAUUAUAAUAUGAAACCUGGUUAUAUGAAACCAAAGACUAGUGUGGGACAUUUCAGUAUAUCUGAGGAUAAAGGGAAUUGAUACAUAUCAAAUGAAUUAAAAUUUAACUGUUUAUGUUGAAACUUUAAAACAGAGAACCAAAUUUAUACCAAAGACCCUCAUGGAAACUACAUACUUAAAGGGAAUACACAAAUGACUAAAUUGAAAUGGUGUGUUUUACACUAAAAGAUCUUUCCCUGGCAUUCCAGACCUGGGACGAGGAACAGAGAGCGACUAAUAGUGAGCACGUUAUUUUUAAGGCCAAGGAACAUUCAACUCCUGAGACAGAUUUUUUUGUGGUCAUAACCAUGUAGUGACUUAGAUGGUUUUUGAUGCCCCCAAAUAAAAAAGGAAACAUUGACGUAACCUGGAAUUCUUCAUAACAGCAUCUUACAGAAAACAUGUUUCUUCUCUUCACAGAGUGUUGCUUAAGUCAUUGUUUGAAGCACGACUAUUCCUUCCAGGGUGCUUGUUAGAGCCAAAUUUAUUUAGCUUCCCUCCACUUACAAGUGCUGCAAACGUUAGGGCAGCUUCAUUCCCUUCCAUGGCACUGCCUAGUUAUCAGAAAUCUUCUAAAAGACACCACCUUUCAUAUAAAAGUGAUAGUCGAAUGAGGUAAAAUGGCAUUAGUGGGCCCUAUAUUUUUUAAAGCUGUACAAUUGUUUCAAUGUCACUUUUCUACAUACUUCUGUGUAUGUAAACAUGUCUUCAUGGUUUACACUUUUCAUUUGUAUCUGCUGGGCUGGAUUAAGCUUUGUUGUGAUUGUGACCAAUACAUAUUCGGGCCAUGUUAGCACUGUCUUAUCACAUCACCAAUUGGUUGUAAUAAAUGUUCAACAUAUACCAUUGUAGUGUGUUUUUAUCUUUCUCUUUGCAAAGGUUUAUCAACUAUGGGGAGCUGCUUAAAGAAUUUUACAUUUUUUCAGUCAAAUGUCAAAAAUUCAUCUCCGUUUCAAUGUGGUUGCUAAAAGCACACACAAGAUAAACGGUGGAAGAUGUAAGGAAUCUUGAUGUACUUCAAGCUCAUUAAAAAAUAAUGUGGAUUCCAUGCUGAGAGCCUAUCCACACAUUUAUUUUCAAUCAAUAAAUGCCGCUUUUAAAACCUUGA